AAUAUAUGGGCAUUGUUGUCCUAAAUAUGUUGUGCUGUGUUUUGUUUUGUUUUUCUCUCUUCUUUAUGUCCUCUUUCACACGAAAUGCAGGAGUAUUGUUCUGUGAGCCUGGAAACCUCUCUGCUCUGUGCUUGACUCCAGGCCAUGGCAUUGGCAGAGCUGAUCGAGCUUCUCAGCUGGAUCCUGGUUAUGAGCCUUGGGCUGUCCCAGAGGUGACUGAGGAAGAAGGAGAUCACAACAUGCCAUGGAAGCUCCUCACCCGUGUUUGACUCCCUGUUUGGUUCCUGCAGUCCAUGGUGAUCAAGCCUCUUGGUGUAAUCCUGUUCCUGAGCCUGGGGGCAAUCCCAGGGCCGUCCCUGUAGGCAGCGGCUACUUGACUUCUUGACUUGAGUCUGUCCGUGAGCCUCGGGGCGAUCCCACAGGUACGUCCUUGGAACAAAUGAGCGUUUCCAUGUUCAUUUUCUGUUCCUGUGAAAUUUAGCUUGCUACUUUCUUGGCUGACGCUGGGUCACGCAGAGGGGAAGUGGGUCCGCCUCAGUGCUGUGCCCCAGAGGGCUCUGCCUUGCAAAGCUCUUUGCCAACUGCUCCAUCUCUGCGCUGCUCGCAGUGCCGGCUGCCGAGCCAGCGGCAGGUUGGGGCUGAGUUUAGAGCUGGGUGAGCUCCAGGGAGUCCUUUCUCCCGACAGCUCCAGGCCUGCUUAGUGGCCACUGCAAGUGCUGGAUAAAUGUUGGCAAGCUGCU